rnacentral:rRNA from 1 species
UACGAAGGGGGCUAGCGUUGUUCGGAUUUACUGGGCGUAAAGCGCACGUAGGCGGAUCGUUAAGUCGGGGGUGAAAUCCUGGAGCUCAACUCCAGAACUGCCUUCGAUACUGGCGAUCUAGAGUCCGGAAGAGGUGAGUGGAACUCCUAGUGUAGAGGUGGAAUUCGUAGAUAUUAGGAAGAACACCAGUGGCGAAGGCGGCUCACUGGUCCGGUACUGACGCUGAGGUGCGAAAGCGUGGGGAGCGAACAGG